AGGGCACCACCAGGAGUGGAGCCUGCGGCUUAAUUUGACUCAACACGGGAAAACUCACCCGGCCCGGACACCGUAAGGAUUGACAGAUUGAGAGCUCUUUCUUGAUUCGGUGGUUGGUGGUGCAUGGCCGUUCUUAGUUGGUGGAGCGAUUUGUCUGGUUUAUUCCGAUAACGAACGAGACUCUGGCCUACUAAAUAGUGACAGGAUUAUUACUGUCUUGGAUACUUCUUAGAGGGACAAGUGGUUUUCAGCCACACGAAAUUGGGCAAUAACAGGUCUGUGAUGCCCUUAGAUGUCCGGGGCUGCACGCGCGCUACACUGAAGGAAUCAGCGUGCUAAAACCAUUGUCGAAAGGCAUUGGUAAACCCAUUAAAAUCCUACGUGAUUGGGAUCGGGAAUUGCAAUUAUUUCCCUUGAACGAGGAAUUCCCAGUAAGUGUGGGUCAUAAGCUCGCGUUGAUUACGUCCCUGCCCUUUGUACACACCGCCCGUCGCUGCCCGGGACUGAGCCGUUUCGAGA
rnacentral:rRNA from 1 species